rnacentral:lncRNA from 1 species
CGAGCCUGCAACUUUUGUUGCAGAAAGCUCGACAUAGGGAUAGUGAUCCGGCGGCGGCGGCGGCUACGGCGGCGGCGGCGGCUACGGCGGCGGCGUUAGCUCACUUCUUAAAAGCUUUAUAUUUUAGAAGGUGGAAGACCUGGAUGCUUCAUACUUUGUAUAUAGAUGCUUCAUGUUACGAAGUUUCCGUCAGUCACAUGUCCAAUGUCCUUGACCUCAUUUUCAUGGUUCAGUGACCACUUGAAAAAAAAGUUCAAAUUUUUUUGUAAUGUUGAAUUCUCUCUUAUUAUAAGUAAUAGGAUAACUAUAUUUGAUAUGUGCGUACCUUGCAAGGUCCUCAUGUCUGUCAGACAGUUUUCACUUGACCUCGACCUCAUUUCAUGGAUCAGUGAACAAGGUAAAGUUUUGGUGGUCAAGUCCAUAUCUCAGAUACUAUAAGCAAUAGGGC